GCAGUUGUCUGGACCCCUUCAGUGAGAAUGGUGAGUGGAGAACAGAGCUGCCUUUGAAUCAAGCUACCACCGGGGAGACAGUCCAUCCACCCCAAGAUGAGGAAACCGGGGCCCAGAGAAGUCGUCACACAUCUGUGAAGUGGAGGAGCUUGGAUAAGAGUUUGUGCUGAAGGGUGAAUCAGACAGAGAGUCAAAGUGAAGAUGUGAUUUUUCUGUAAGGUGGAACGGUCAUUUGGGAGCAAGCUGCUCCAUCUCUGGAGCCACUACUAACCCUGAGGAGAGGGAGCCCUGUCAACCUCCCAGUCCUAGCCUUUCGCAGCUGCCCACGUUCCACCCCACCGCCUGAGAAGGGGCCAAGGACCAGGAUGGAGGCUGUGUGAGGUUUCUGCUGAGACUCUUCUCAUCUAAAGCCAUGCAUCUCAGCUCCAUGAAGGGUUUGAGCUGAAAGGAUGGCUGAGGAUACACCAACCGCCCCACACCCCAUUUUACAGAGAAAAUUCCUGCUGGCCCCUCUUCAAGAGUGCUUCUAAGCUGGGCAUUCUUUGGUGCUCCACAUUUUGGAAUGGGAUCAUCACUGUUGCCUGGACCCUUUGGUGUGAACUGGUGUUCCACUCAGAACCAAGGAUAUUUCUAAGGUGAUUCACAGGGAACACUUCAAACUGUGACAAACAAGG